rnacentral:lncRNA from 1 species
UGACUAUGAACGUGAUCGAGAAACUCGGGAUCGGGAUCGCGAUCGCCCUCGAGAAAGAGACAGGGAUUAUGAAGUUGGGGACCCUGAGCAUGAUCGUGGCCGUUCCCGUGACAAGGAAUCAGAUUAUGAUCACCGUACUGAAUCAAAACAUGAGAGGGACCGACAUGGCGAAAGGGAACGGGAUUAUGACCACAGUGCCCAGGAAGACGGCCAGGGGUGGUUUGAACAACCUGAACAUGGCCAUAGGCGCUCCGACCCUGACCAGGAUGCUGAGCCCUAUGAACAUCAUCGUAGCCAGUAUGAUCAAUUGGAUGUCCAGCAUGACCAUGAC